UACCCUUUUGUGAAUCCCGCUGCCAUCUUUGUCGUUGGUCCAAAUGAUUAGCUAUGCAAGGGAAGUUGGCAACUUAAGCAUCUCAGUCCUCAUUUUUUGUUUAUGUUCACUUCGGGACCUGAAACGCCCCAUAAUUCAAUUUGCGAUGAUUGUACAUCCGAGGAAAAAAAGUCAGCCAAAACUUAAAACGGAGAAGUCAACAUAUGAGUGAUCGGGAACCAGUGUGUCCAGUGCGCGGGCUCACCCUAGGCGAGCCCACAACGGUCUGGCGCAACGUGGCCCAUCCUGCUCUCCUGAAUCGGCAUCGGGACCUGUCCUGGAUGGUCGCCCACGAGAUCCUCCCGGUCAGGGCCGUUAUGCACUCACAGGGCAUGGCGAGGACAUCCGCGUGCCCCUGACGAGGCUGCGUCCAAGAAGAGUCGGUGAGGCACAUGCUCUGGGAGUGCAGAGCUGCCAGGGACCUGUGGAAGGAAGCAGGCCCCCUGAUCACCCCGUGUCUGCCAGCAGGGGAGGACCUAACACCUCAGCUCGUGCUGUAUGGGGUGGGCCGGAGGCCUAUUCCAUCGAAGGCCUUCACCAAGUUCUGGCCCUCCCUCACGUGCUUGAAGGAAGCACUGUGGUCCUCACGCAACCUGCUGGUAGGGAAAAGUGUAGAGACCACCCCCCAGGCAGUGGCCAUGGUAGCCACGGAAGUCCUGAAGUACAGAUACGGCCCAAAAAACUAUAGAAGUAGUACUUUAAAGUAUUUUUUACUGUAAAUGAACGUCAUUUAGAGCCGGGGGCAUUACAAGUAGGCCGUCAAUGUAAGUAAGAAUGUGUACUUAACUGACUUGCCUAAACAAAUGUUGGCCUUACUAGAUAGCCUGCAGGGAUGACAAUAUCUUCCUGGCAUGGCGAAUGCACCUUAAAGUCUGGGCAUAACAGGCCAGCCAUGGACCUUCAGCUGCCCUACGGAGGCAAUAAAUUGCCACCCCUCCUAUUUGCCUAAACUAGAAUAGUGGUCGGCAAUAGGUUACUCAGCUAAUAGUCGUCAGAACAUAGUAGCAGCCCAGUUCAUAGGCCAAAGCUACAAAUUAAACACAAUGUUUAACACAUCUCGUUAGUAUACUAUAUAAUCAGUGCAAUGUCAAUAACCAACACAAUUCUAAUAUUUAAAAUGUAAAUACACUGAUAAAAUCAACAAUGUCUAUUAAAUUUUAUUUGUUCUUAUUUUUCUGCCACUGCCAGUGCCGCACGCAAUCAUUUUCAAAACACAUUGGGCAAAGCAGCCCGUUUUCAACACCAACCAAAACAACUUGACUACUCUAUUUUCCUCCCGGUCUAAGAGGGAUCCAAUAGAUUAAGCCACCCAAUUCUACACAAUUCCUUGCAAUAUCAAUUUGACUUUCAACAAGUGUAGGAAGCCCAGCCGUGAAGCCGGGCAUCAAAAAAUUAGUUGAUACUCAUAAUGUUCCUCUCCACGGAAAUCUUUAGUAAAAGGCGAAAGAUUUAUGCGAUCUGAAGAGAAACCAGAGUGUACUACCGAAUGCUGAACACAGUUCACUCCCAGUUCUCGGCCUUACUCUUCACAUUCAUGGUUAAAUGAAAAACAAACCACACCUAAAAUCUCCGAUACAACACAAACACAUAGUCCAGUCCACCGAUGGAGAGAAAUAAAUAAGUUUUGUAAUGCUUUGUAAUUUCAUUCAGUCUUUACACAAACGAAAUGCACGCUGGGUAUUAUAUAAAUCACUUCCUGUUUGACCCAUUCAUUCGUAAACAUUACUUCUUCUGCAACGACAGUGUAAUUUCAGAAACUAAGAAGAGCAAUGUUGGCGUAACACUUUAGCCAGCGCCAAAAGUUUACUAUCAAAAAUUGGAAACGAUGUUCAAUUUGUAAUAUUUGCAGAAGGGACUAACUACGACAACGCUUCUACAUGGAGCAAGCGCAUGCGCCGUUGAGACCCGGAAGAAACUUCACUAGGCAGUGGUGAGAAGCAGGGACGAGGGGCGGCAAAAGAAUUAUAUUCAUAUCGGCAACAUUUAAUUGCUGGGUUUAAAACAAUUACAUGUAACCACUAUCUGCAACAAUGUAUCAACUUUGAAAUCUGAACGUAAUAGUUUUGCAACAUGUAUUAUGGUACUUGGGGUUAACUAGUCCCCCCUAAGAACAAUGUCUAAUUGGUGACACGAAAAAAGUAAAGUUAGGAAAGAAAAUUGCUUUGUGAAUGAUGGUCAUACUUAGACGAAUAAACUAUCAAGGGAAAUAAAUGGC